AAGGAUUGCUUAUUGCACCACAUGUGUUUUUCUUUGAAACAAACUUGCUUUGGCGGUGGGCCCAGCCUGCCGCCAGAGGUCUAAACUUACAACCAAUUUUUUAUCAACUUGUCACACCAGAUUAUUACUAAUAGUCAAAACUUUCAACAACGGAUCUCUUGGUUCUCGCAUCGAUGAAGAACGCAGCGAAAUGCGAUACGUAAUAUGAAUUGCAGAUAUUCGUGAAUCAUCGAAUCUUUGAACGCACAUUGCGCCCUCUGGUAUUCCGGAGGGCAUGCCUGUUUGAGCGUCGUUUCUCCCUCAAACCGCUGGGUUUGGUGUUGAGCAAUACGACUUGGGUUUGCUUGAAAGACGGUAGUGGUAAGGCGGGAUCGCUUUGACAAUGGCUUAGGUCUAACCAAAAACAUUGCUUGCGGCGGCAACGUCUACCACGUAUAUCUUCAAACUUUGACCUCAAAUCAGGUAGGACUACCCGCUGAACUUAAGCAUAUCAAAGGC
rnacentral:rRNA from 1 species